rnacentral:rRNA from 1 species
GACAGAGGUGCCGAGCGUUAGGCGGAAUCACUGGGCUUAAAGCGUGUGUAGGCGGACUUCUAAGUACCUUGUGAAAUCCCACGGCUCAACCGUGGAACUGCUUGGUAUACUGGUUGUCUUGAGCCACUUAGGGGCAGUCGGAACAGACGGUGGAGCGGUGAAAUGCGUAGAGAUCGGAAAGAACACCAACGGCGAAAGCACUCUGCUGGGCCGACACUGACACUGAGAGACGAAAGCUAGGGGAGCGAAUGGG